CAGGUUAUUUCCGAAUCCCGGAACCACAAGGAGCCAGGUUUUGAGGUGGAACAUCUGUGGAUUGAGACGGAGGAUGUGUCCUGUGAAAGGAGCCACAGUGUUGGAUGGAGAGAGAUCGGUUGGCAUACCAUUCUGUGAAGGAGGCUGUGGCAGUGGGAACACUUAUGGGAUGUGUCCCUCUCCUAGAGAGCGAAUACACUGCGGCUGGCUGGCAGUUACUGGGAAGGCCCUGCAAGAGAUGCACCUCUUAAACCCAGGGGAUCUGUGCAUAAGGGUGAGGAAAAAAGCUUCCCAGUUAGGAACAGCAGGAAGCAGAAGAACCAAAACCUAAGCUAUGAAUAACUUUAAAGGGGGCGCUGCCGCACCUACAAGAGGAGCUCCCAGAGGGAUAUCACUUGAAGAAGAAACAAAGGUGACCAGUGAAGACGCAGUUGAGGGAGGAGUUGCCUACAAGCCAGUUCAUCAAUCAUUGAAGACAAAAGUAGUUGGAGGAACAAUAUCCUCCAUCCAGAGCUCAGAGAAAUUAAAUUACAUGCAUAAGGCCAAUAAGUAUGUCAGUAGCACAACCACAAUUAGAACUAGAGUUCCUGACAUGCCACACUUCACUCAUUCUUUUAGAUCAGACAUUGCCCCUUUUAAAUGAGAAAGCAACUGACUUUAAUAUGAUUUUUGUUAUUUUAUAAUUUGCUGCUUUUUUAAUUUAAAGCAGAGAUUGAUGUUGAUUUUACCCAAAACAUGCACUCUCACUGGCCGAUCUUCUUUAGACCCUAAAAGAUGUGGAAUGCACUUUCAUUUAAUACUAUUCAAACCACGUUUCCUACAUAGAACUUAGUUGAAAUGUUCUCUUAUAUAUUUUGUAUAUAAAAACAAACAAAAUAUACAUGCUAUCACAUGGUUUUGCUGUAUAAAAAAUCUCCUUCUCCACAGACCUUCCAACAUGUUUCAUCCCUAAACUGAGUCGACUUGUAUUCACUCUUCAUGUCAAUUAAAUUCAUAGGAACAAAGGAAUCACCAGACUGGAUCAGACGAGGUACAUCUAGCCCAUCCCGUCUCCAACAGUAACCACUUACAGAUGUUUCAGAGGAAAGGUGUAAGAGACCUGGAGUAGGCAAAUGCAGGAUGUUUCCCACAUUAGGUCUCACCCUGAUCUCCAACAGUUAGAUUGGCUUAAGUCCUAAAAGCAUGAAGUCUAGUAUCCCUUCCAAAAUUUAGUCUCUCUGCUGAGACUUCCAAGAGGGGUCCCAAUUAACAUCAACUAACAGUGUUUUAUGUGACAAUGUAGACACUUGUCCACUAGGUAUUAGACUGACAAACUCAUUUAACAUAGAAUGCACAGCCUCUAAAUUGUGAAUUACUGUGGGUCACUGUCAUCCUAGGCUGGAAUCAAAAUAGCCUUUUCUACAAUAGGCAUUUCUCUAAUAAUAAUUUACUACUUUGGCAGCAGCGGUGGGAGUGCUAGUGUAGACAAUGCACUGGUCCCCUGAAGCAUUUUAAGUAUUGCAUUAUGUGGACCUGCUUUGAGCAGCAUUAGAUUAUGCUGAGAAAACACCAGUAGUUCCUGAAGCCAUAUCUAUACAAGCUCUGACCACUGCUACCAUAGGUGAAGCUGACUUGAGAAUACUAACAGUGAGAAAUGUUUGACAAGGAAGCAUAGUGUAGAGUACACACACCCUCCAGUGACCUCGAGGCAAAAAGCAGAAAAUCAUAUUCCUAUCACAUUUUGCUUGCUAUGAACAUUGUUACCAAACAAUCACUCCUGUAUUCCCAGACAUUUUCUUCCUUUUAAAAAACAGUUUCAAAUGAAUAAAGGCAAGAAAACAUUUAUGGUUGUUAAGCUGCAAGUAAUAUUGGUUAUUUACUUGUAAACUGAUGUGUGGUGUAUGAACAGAAUGUCCAGAAAUACAGUUGCUUUCAUUUGCACUUUAUCACCACAACAUAUUUAUACUGUAUGCCUUACAGAAAACAAACGAUAUGCAACAUACUUGAAAUAUGGUAACAGCAUACAAUGAGUUACUUGGAUUUUAACUCAGGGAAUUUGAUCACAGCUGAAAAACGUAGUGUAACAAUACUAUUUUUCCCUAUACCCAAUAUGCAAAAAAUUGAGUUUGGAAAUUUAAGUUAGUGUGUGUCCACAAGAUCUCUAGUUCAUUUCAAAGUAUUUCCUUUCUUGAUCAUUUUAAACUAUGAAAUGCAUAAAAUAACUUUGCAACAUAAUGUACUAAAUGCUUUGAAUUUAAUAUUUUCUACAUUCAUACCAAAACCAAUUAACAGUUUUUACAAAUAGUGUUAUUUACUAAAUUACACUCUUCUA